GAAUUAUUUUUGUUGUAUUCCUCAGGGUGAUUGGAUUGAUUCGAAGAAUACAGAGAGAAAAGUUAGCUUGGAUGUGGUCCUAGUUAUUCGGGCAAUUUAUUAUGAUUUGUAGCAGAUGCUGGGCAGGUUGUAGAAAGAAAGAAGGGCUUAUCCGUGGCUAUGAAAGAGAUGCUCAACUACAUGUUCUUUGAAUGUCAGGUUUAUUUGCGCGUAAAGAAUAGACUGUUAGUUGAAAAAUCCAUGCAAAUUAAAUCAAAUUUUGCUUUCUCUGUCUACAUCAAUUCCCAUAGCCAUAGAUGAAGCAAGUGGCUAGCUGGAAUGUUCAUCCUCUGUCAGUUACAUACGCUUAAGCAAUCUGGUGAGUUCUGAAGAUGCAAAUGCAAUGGCGAAGCUAUGAAGGGAAAAGGAGUCAUGGUCUCACUAAAUUUCUCAACAUUCCUUGCUACAUUCAUUGAUAAACUAAUUGAUCUCUCCGAGGACCAGGAAUCCCACAUUCAUUAG
rnacentral:misc_RNA from 1 species